ACAGAAUGAUACACAAGGGAUAAAAGAGGGGAAAGAGGAGGACCAAAGGCAGAGAACAUUUUUUAUUUAAAAAUUUUCCUUCACAUAAAGUAUGAAUUUUAUUUCACAGGGAGCUGAUUGGAUAAAUGGUGGAGAAGGAAAUCUGUUGCUCCUGAAGAUUGGAGUUUUGGAAGCUGCACUGCUGAUGCCAUGCCUCCAACUCAAACUGGAAAUUGGGACCUACCUGUGGGAUAAGUCAGCAGUCAGCUGAAAAGAGGAUCGUGAUUUGAAGCACAUCGAGGUGAGAGCAGAGAGCCCUUAGAGGAAGAGUCUCCUUUGCAAAUGGCCUUUAGCAUAUUACCCUCCCUGCUGCUGCUGCUGCUAAGUCGCUUCAGUCGUGUCCAACUCUGUGCGACCCCAUAGACAGCAGCCCACUAGGCUCCUCUGUCCCUGGGAUUCUCCAGGCAUAGAUGGCCAUCAGCUUCUUGCCAUUUUAACAACUUGAUAGAUUAUUCU
ensembl:lncRNA